rnacentral:sRNA from 1 species
ACAAGCUAAUACAAAGAGAGAGAAGGAGAAGGAACAGAAUCGUUAGGGUUUGGGAGGAAUCAGUUUCGUCAUAUAAAAUCGUUGUCAAAGAUAACGAAAUUUAGUAGAGUUAUUCCCAAGUCUUUUAUCGUUAUUCUCCAGUUUACAGAAGUGGAUUUGGAUUUAAAUUGGUUGAGUUAUUCGCAGUUUCGUGAGACACGUUUUCUCAUAUACGAAUUAGGACCAGCAGGGAUUGAAACUGAGAUCGUGGUCUGUUCUCCGAUCGGCACGAGUUUUUGUGUGCAGCUUUGUGACGUCUACGGCUAGCGUUUCACCGGAGGGAUUUAAUAGUUAACGGUUAGUUUGUAUUUUAGAGUUUCGUCUUUGAGAUUGUUUGUUUCUGUUUUUCAUGUCCAGUUUGCUUCAAGGUUGUUUUUGGUUGUGACUUGUUGUAGGACGUUUCUGGACUGUUUCACACGUAAGGAGAGUCUCUCCUGAGUUUAAUUAUUGUUAGAAUCAAUUUGUUAAGGUGAGUACGUGACCAUGAGCUUAUCUGAGCGAUUGGGUUGUAUGAUUUGUUUUGUGUGAUGAUAUGUAGGUGUGGUGAAUGUGUUUUUGGGUGAAUUGUUCAAUGACUGGUUUGUUUAUGUUGUAUUUGUGAUUAUACCCCUUUUAAUUGCUUGUGUGUAUAGCUCGUAGAUGGGAGGAUCGCCUCACUAAGUAUUUGUGAUAAUACUUACGCAUGUCUUUCUUUUUGGUGCAGGUAAAGAUAAAGUGUGAUCGUGGAAUCAUGGCAAGAAAGAGAGGAUGAUCUAGGAACUCGUUUGGUUUAUUUUUGUAUUUUGGUUAUUAGAACCGGUUAGGGUUGUUUUAGGAUUGUUAGUCAUUCUUGGUUUGUUGGUUGAAUCAUUUAUUUAUUCAUAAAUAGUAUCUUUGACUUGGGGUUUAAUUGUUGCUUUAUUGAUUGGUUUAAUUAAGUAUUUAUGGGAAUAUUUAAUUAUGUUUU